UGACAAUAUAGUUUAGAUUUUUUAAAUAAUGCUUUUGUAAAGCAUAGAUGGAACUAUGAAAUAUGGGGUGUUCCUGUUGUCAU
rnacentral:tRNA from 1 species